GUGAAUCAUCGAAUCUUUGAACGCAAAUUGCACUCUCCGGUUUUCCGGGAGAGUAUGCCUGUUUGAGGGUCAGCCUAAAAAAAAUCGACAUUGUUGCUGUUUUUUAAUGGUGACUUUCGUCGGAGGUUGGGUUAUCUUUAACCUUUUUUUUUUUUGGUUUAAGCUACUUAAAAUUUUUCUUCACGAUUCCAUGAACGUAUCUAAGCUUUUUAGUAUUU
rnacentral:misc_RNA from 1 species